rnacentral:rRNA from 1 species
GAGUUUGAUCGUGGCUCAGAUUGAACGCUGGCGGCAGGCCUAACACAUGCAAGUCGAGCGGAUGACGGGAGCUUGCUCCUUGAUUCAGCGGCGGACGGGUGAGUAAUGCCUAGGAAUCUGCCUGGUAGUGGGGGACAACGUUUCGAAAGGAACGCUAAUACCGCAUACGUCCUACGGGAGAAAGCAGGGGACCUUCGGGCCUUGCGCUAUCAGAUGAGCCUAGGUCGGAUUAGCUAGUUGGUGGGGUAAUGGCUCACCAAGGCGACGAUCCGUAACUGGUCUGAGAGGAUGAUCAGUCACACUGGAACUGAGACACGGUCCAGACUCCUAUGGGAGGCAGCAGUGGGGGAAUAUUGGACAAUGGGCGAAAGCCUGAUCCAGCCAUGCCGCGUGUGUGAAGAAGGUCUUCGGAUUGUAAAGCACUUUAAGUUGGGAGGAAGGGCAGUAAGUUAAUACCUUGCUGUUUUGACGUUACCGACAGAAUAAGCACCGGCUAACUCUGUGCCAGCCGCCG